AGACAAUAGUUAUUUGAGUUCAACAAAAGUUUUAAGUUUUUAAGCCCAAUGUUUAAAAACAAAUUGUUAGAUUUUUAAUCCUUUUACAGCCCCAAUGGAGAGAAAUUAUGCUUAUUAUAGACAGCUAAGCCAGUCAAACACACUACAGAUCCUCACACUACAUAGGGACAAGCCACUGUUGGGUGUGCUUGCUUUUCGUAAAACCCCUUCACAUAAAACAAAAAGAAAGGGAGAUAUGUUGGGAGCAAUGCUACAUAAUUCUAGGGAAAAAUCAUUUGAGUAGGCCUAGUUCUCCUGCCUACAGCCCAGCUAGGACAUUCCAGACAUAACUGCAUCUUGGCCUCGGGUCACAACUGAGACCUCAGUGAUCCCCGGAUGCUGUCAUCUCCAGGACAAGACCACACCUGUGGGAGAUGCCAGAGAGGAACCAAAUCUUCAUCUGCAUAAUUCCUCAUUGUUCUUAGAUUUCCCCUGCCCCCCAGCCUUUUGUUACACCUUGUCUAUCCCAAUGUAAAGUACUGAACUCUAUAUUUCACUUGUUACAUCUGUUUCCCCAGGUACUGAAUAAAAGGUGCUGCAAGCUAGGGGGUCUUUGUCUUUGCUGCCCAGAGCAGCACUGAUCAGACCCAAAGCUCAGCUUCUUCUCAGUCUCAUUUGUCUACCUUUCCUGUAAUGCGCCGUGUGCUGCCGUGGCUCACAGGAGACUAGGACUCACUGCAGAGGUUCUGGUAUGAAGCCUGAAGAACAGAGAGUACAUUUUUUGGGAAAAUGCUUACUGUAAAUCCUGGGACUCUGAAGAGGUUAUUCUGACAAGUCAUUUUCCCUGGUGUGUCUUUGAUGUCUUUUCUUAAGGCUGUAGUUUCUUCUCCAAGCUGUGUGGUAAUCUACUGGAUGGCAGCACUACAACUUGAGCAUUCUUCCGCUGAUACUAUGGUCACAUGAAUGGAAACCUUCCAGCUGAAAGGAGAAGCAUGCAGCAUGGCCAGGCACUGAUGAGGCACUGUGUUUCAAGCUGGGUCCUGCUGAAACAGAUCUGAUGACCUUUCUUCCCUUCAGAUUUUUUAAUGUACUGAAGACUAUUACCUGGCUGGGGAAAGAGGAUAGCGCUUAAAAACAGUUCCUUUUUUGGUAAUGUUCCUAUGUGCUCAGUGGAGACAAUUAUUGCCUGUCUAUGUGAGCUGCUUUUUCAAGGAAGGAAAUGACUGAAGAAAUGGGAACGCUGUCAACAUUGAGAUGAAUAUGAGGGACGGAGGGAUAUGUUUGUUUUAAAGAAAGAAAUAAAACAGCAUUUGAAAUUUUUUUUAG
rnacentral:lncRNA from 1 species